rnacentral:rRNA from 1 species
GAUCCUGCCGGACCCGACUGCUCUGGGGGUAAGGCUUAUCCAUGCGAGUUAGCCUCUGCGGCCAUGUGCAGAGGCGGCGCACGGCUCAGUAACACGUGGCCAACCUGCCCUAGAGACAGGGAUAACCUCGCGAAAGUGAGGAUAACCCCUGAUAGGUGAAGAGUCCUGGAACGGUUCCUCGCCCAAAGGAUACUAUACACAUGCUGUGUAGUGUUGCUCUAGGAUGGGGCUACGGCUGAUCAGGUAGUUGGUGGGGUAACGGCCCACCAAGCCUAUAACCAGUACGGGCCGUGAGAGCGGGAGCCCGGAGAUGGGCACUGAGACAAGGGCCCAGGCCCUACGGGGCGCAGCAGGAGCGAAACCUCCGCAAUGCGCGAAAGCGCGACGGGGCUACCCCGAGUGCCAUCCGUUGAGGAUGGCUUUUCAUCAGUCUAAGAAGCUGGUGGAAUAAGCGGGGGGCAAGCCUGGUGUCAGCCGCCGCGGUAAUACCAGCUCCGCGAGUGGUCGGGACGUUUAUUGGGUCUAAAGCGUCCGUAGCCGGCUUACUAAGUCUCCGGCUAAAACCGACGGCUCAACCGUCGGAUCGCCGAAGAUACUGGUAGGCUUGGGGGCGGAAGAGGCCGAGGGUACUCCCGGGGUAGGGGCGAAAUCCUAUAAUCCCGGAAGGACCACCAGUGGCGAAGGCGCUCGGCUAGUACGCGCCCGACGGUGAGGGACGAAAGCUGGGGGAGCGAACCGGAUUAGAUACCCGGGUAGUCCCAGCUGUAAACGAUGCAGACUAGGUGUUGGAUAGGCUUCGGGCCUAUCCAGUGCCGCAGUGAAGACAAUAAGUCUGCCACCUGGGGAGUACGGCCGCAAGGCUGAAACUUAAAGGAAUUGGCGGGGGAGCACCACAAGGGGUGAAGCCUGCGGUUUAAUUGGAGUCAACGCCGGGAACCUUACCGGGGGCGACAGCAGAAUGAAGGCCAAGCUGACGACUUUGCUAGACACGCUGAGAGGAGGUGCAUGGCCGUCGCCAGUUCGUGCCGUGAGGUGUCCGGUUAAGUCCGGCAACGAACGAGACCCCUGCCCUCAGUUGCAACUAGGACGGGCAACUGUCUUAGGCACACUAGGGGGACUGCCGCCGCUAAGGCGGAGGAAGGAGGGGGCCACGGCAGGUCAGUAUGCCCCGAAUCCCCCGGGCUACACGCGGGCUGCAAUGGUGGGGACAAUGGGUCCCGACCCCGAAAGGGGAAGGUAAUCUCCUAAACCCCACCUCAGUUGGGAUCGAGGGCUGUAACUCGCCCUCGUGAACAUGGAAUCCCUAGUAACCGCGUGUCACUAUCGCGCGGUGAAUACGUCCCUGCUCCUUGCACACACUGC